rnacentral:rRNA from 1 species
UACGGGGGGGGCAAGCGUUGUUCGGAAUUACUGGGCGUAAAGGGCUCGUAGGCGGCCAACUAAGUCGGACGUGAAAUCCCCAGGCUCAACCUGGGAACUGCGUCCGAUACUGGAUGGCUUGAAUUCGGGAGAGGGAUGCAGAAUUCCAGGUGUAGCGGUGAAAUGCGUAGAUAUCUGGAGGAAUACCGGUGGCGAAGGCGGCAU